UACGUAGGGUGCAAGCGUUAAUCGGAAUUACUGGGCGUAAAGCGUGCGCAGGCGGUGAUGUAAGACAGAUGUGAAAUCCCCGGGCUCAACCUGGGAACUGCAUUGUGACUGCAUCGCUGGAGUGCGGCAGAGGGGGAUGGAAUUCCGCGUGUAGCAGUGAAAUGCGUAGAUAUGCGGAGGAACACCGGUGGCGAAGGCGACAUCCUGGACCGGUAUUGACGCUGAGGCGCGAAAGCCAGGGGAGCAAACGGGG
rnacentral:rRNA from 1 species